CAGUCGCCGCGGUAAUACGAAGGGGGCUAGCGUUGUUCGGAUUUACUGGGCGUAAAGCGCACGUAGGCGGAUCGAUCAGUCAGGGGUGAAAUCCCAGAGCUCAACUCUGGAACUGCCUUUGAUACUGUCGAUCUGGAGUAUGGAAGAGGUGAAUGGAAUUCCGAGUGUAGAGGUGAAAUUCGUAGAUAUUCGGAGGAACACCAGUGGCGAAGGCGGCUCACUGGUCCAUUACUGACGCUGAGGUGCGAAAGCGUGGGGAGCAAACAGGAUUAGAUACCCCUGUAGUCCCUGUCUCUUAUAC
rnacentral:rRNA from 1 species